rnacentral:rRNA from 1 species
UACGAAGGGUGCAAGCGUUACUCGGAAUUACUGGGCGUAAAGCGCACGUAGGCGGCUUUGUAAGUUAGAGGUGAAAGCCUGGAGCUCAACUCCAGAAUUGCCUUUAAGACUGCAUCGCUUGAAUCCAGGAGAGGUGAGUGGAAUUCCGAGUGUAGAGGUGAAAUUCGUAGAUAUUCGGAAGAACACCAGUGGCGAAGGCGGCUCACUGGACUGGUAUUGACGCUGAGGUGCGAAAGCGUGGGGAGCAAACAGG